UGAAAAGCGAACACUGAAAGGACUCAAAACACUUCCAUAGAAUAUUCUCUUUACAGCCCUGAUUAGCAUCGCAAGAGUCCAGGUCUGCAACCACUUAACCUCGUUUCCCUGAGCUGUUUGACACCGUGUUUACUUUUUAUUUCCUAUUGCAGAGGUCGAUGCGGCGGAGAUAACGCCCGCUGGCGUGGCAGUGAGUCACACUGAGCCGGGGUCAGCUUGAAGCUGCAACAACAACAACAGCAGCAGAGGAAGGUGGGACGAAAAGGAAACUGGACUCUCGCCAUCAUGUGAGUGGCUGACAGCAUGAACAGGUUAAAUUAUUAGUUCCUGCAUUUGUUGAAAUUUUCCCCAGAGGUGAUUUGUUCUUACUGAAAUACACGUAAUAUCUUUAUUUCUUAGGGCCAAGAAUAAAUGAAACUAUUGUGAUAAAUAACUGAACUGUAGAUGAAGAAUAGAAAUCUCAGAUAAACCCUGAAACUUGAGACGGGCAACUUCAAAUCUCAUUUUAACCUUUGUCUAAAAUGCAUAGAAAAGUAUCACAGCCAUUAGGGCCUGUUUACACUGACAGCAUUUUUUUUUAAAGCCUGGACUCAAGAGAUAUUCUGGCUUAAAAUUAAUUUAUGGUCAAACACACUAUAGACAUCCCCUUGAGAGAUGAAUGUUGCUUCUCUAGUUAUACCAACUUUAGUAACGACCGCAGGAUAGCAAUACACAUCUGUCUGAGGAGCCAUAAACAAACCUCAACCAAAACGCCACUCUAUAGCCACAAAUAAUGCUCAGAACAGCACCUAACUUCAUCAACAGUAGAGAUAGGGUCCCAGCAAUAGUACUAGCCACCAAACAUCUUUUUAACUUUGACGAAUUUCUUUAGCAAAGAGACUAAACACAACUCACCUACUCUCUUCCAGCAGCCGCUUGUUUGUAACGAGACCUCAGGCCAGUCCAUUAUGGACUACAGCGGGGUGAUGCAGCUCAAGGAAGAACAUUUAUGAUCAUUUCUUUAUCAUUUCGUUGAAGUAAUAAUCACCAUAUAAAUCAUUUUCCACUGUAGACGCAGUAGUUCUUCUGUCUUAGCGUCUCAGUCUGAUUGUAUUUCUAUAAAGAAAUGAUCAUAAAUGUUCUUCCUUGAGCUGCGGAACCCCACUGUAGUCUGUAAUGGACUGACCUGAGGUCUAGCUACAAAUAAAUGGCUGCUGGAAGAGAGUAGGUGAGUUGUGUUUAGUCUCUUUGCUAAAGAAAUCAGGCAAAGUUAAAAAGAUGUUUGGUGUCUAGUACUAUGUCUGUGACCCUAUAUGUCCUGUUGAUGAAGUUAGGUGCUGUUCUGAGCAUUAUUUGUGGCUAUAGAGUGGCGUUUUGGUUGAGGUUUGUUUAUGGCUCCUCAGACCGCUGUGUAUUGCUAUCCUGUGGUCGUUGGUAUAACUAGAGACGCAAAAUUAAUUUUACACCGUAAUAGCCCUUUAACCACAAAGAGUCAAAGUUGUCUGUUAAACAUGCUUUAACUUAAAUUAAAACAGUUUGGUCAUUUUAAUUUGAACAGUUUCAAUCCCCAAGUGUAUAUUUACACUAUUAUCCUAUUUCCAUUACUUAUGCUAGGCUAAUUGAAUCAUCUCCUACCUUUAGCUCUAUAUUUAGCAUGAAAAGGGUUUCUUGUCAUCUCGUGUUUCUCUGGUGCAGCUCCUUAAAUGUUCAGUCAAACCCAUUAAAGCUAGCUUAAACGACGGUUUAAACAAGACAUCUCUAUUUUUGCUAACACAGUCACAGCUACAGAUAUUUGGGAUCAAACAUGAUGCAAAUUUCUGCCCACCGUGCAGCGAGAACAAACAGCCUCACUGUGUUUUUCCUGCACUGGAGGAUUUUACUGCUUAGCCUCCAGCUAACACACACACCUGCAUUAACGCCCACAGACCCAAAACACACUCUCCUGUGGAUGCCAGGAGAUGUUUAAAAGCCAGAAUUGGCUGAUUUAGCGGAAAGUUUUGAGAUUUAUGAAAGCGUUUAAAUCGGAGCGCGGGGUGCUGGAGGCGUGUGCGUUGAAUUAUAAUGAUGUCAUCGAUCUCUGGCUCGUUUUCUCUCCGCUACGUGUGCCGGUUGGUUGUUUAUUGCCUCUGUAUAAAACUAUGUUUUUAUUUUGUAUAUCCUCAGUGUGGUUUGUGUACAUCUGUGGGUAAGAAACGCUAAAGCCUCCUAGAACUAGGGCUGGGCGAUAUGAGAAAAAUUUAAUCAUGAUAUAUUUUUUCAUAUCAGUCAAUAUCGAUAUAUAUCACGAUAUAAAAAAUGACAUUUAACAGUGCUUAAUGGUCACAUGUCUUUUGCAAUACAAUAAUCUACUGUAUCUGUGAGGUCUUUGUGUCUUUUACCACGUUUUGUCGUAAGGCAUUGAGCUACAAAAAGCCGACUGAAUGGUUGGAUGUUUCGGCUGUCAGGGUUUGUAACCUUUUGUAUUGCGCAUGCUCUGCAGCGUGGUGCUGCUUCAGGCGUUGAAAAAGAUUUGAGUUAUUCCCCAACUUUGUGAGAACAUGUACUUGACAUAAUUUGCAGUGCACAUUGGCCCCAAUGGGCCAAAAUCCAGACUGUUGUGGGAUGGAACGGCAAGUGAUUCACGCAACAGGAUGGCCCAGCCAGGCUACUUUUACAUAUCGAUAUUGAGGGAAAUUAAUCGUUUUAUCACCCAGCCUACCUAGAAUCGAGGACCACCUUGCAUCCUCACGAAAACUAAAAAUCUUGAUGUUAUGUGAGCAUUUCUCUCCUCUUUAAUUCUCCGUAUUUUGAAACAGCAGCACCAAACUCAAGGACGAAAACACUCCAAACCUGUGAUUUGUCAAACUUUUCAGGAAUCCCUGGAAUCCUGAACCACAUGUUGUUUUGUCUGCUCAAAACAACAUCUUAUCUCAUGAAUGUUUAUAUUAUUGAAUAGCUUUUUCAAACACUACAGGCUUUCACCGAGGAGAUUCAAGACCUUUCGUGGCCUGAAGUGAAGCAGCAUUGUGCAAAAAAACAAAAUGACUGUGAUGUCUCUUAGCUUCCUCGCAUCUGCGUUUCUUGAGGCUGGUUGGUUUGUGACUCAAGAGGAAGAGGUCUUGCAUUUUGGCUGUUCGCCCUCCUCAAAUCUCCCUGAUCUCUGGGCUCAACCUUUGACCCUUCUUGUACGUGGCAGAUACCAAAUCCAAUUUCCUAACAGGGAUCAUCUGCCAGAGAGAUUUGUUAUCAUCCCAGAGGUUUACAGAAUUGAUUUGGAGUCCAUUUCUUUCCUCUUAGUGGCCAAACCCACUCCUAAUCUCGACAGUGAUUCAUCAGAUGUUCACGCUAAAGCAGCCAAAGGUCAGGAAUACGACCCAAACCCGCGAAAUUGCAAAUAAAUUCAUAUUCCCUUCCUUUAGUCCGGAGCUGGUUUUUGGAGGAAUGAGCUCUGAUUGCAGCCAAAAUCUGCUCAGAUUCCUGAAUGUCCCAGCAUGCCUCUGUGAAAGCUUUUUGUGCAUCUAGAGCAGAAAAAGGGAAGUCUGGCCGCUCUUUACUUCCUCUUAAACUGUAUCAGUAAUUACUGUGCUCGCUGCCUGUGGUUGCAGAGUUUCAGAGCUGGUAUGCUUGACAUUUUCAAGUGCAAAAAGGAGAGUUUGACCCGUGUUGUGUUGAAAUGUCAGGGCAUCAUCGCUGUAGGAUCUUAUUUUAAAUCAUUUUGUAAAGCUGAUGGGAAGGAGGAAGUUUAAUAUGACUCAUGGUAUCUUAGAGUUAUUGCUGAAAUAGCCGCUGAUGCGACAAAAAACUAUCAGAUAAUGUGAACAACUCAGCAGGUUGGGGUUAAAAGAGGUUAAAAUUGUCAUUUUAGUGCAUUUAGUUAGAAAAUGACAUGUGAAAAUGGUUGAAAUGGACCUUUAAAACUAAGAAUAGCUGACCUAUUACAACCCUAACUUCACUUUUUAAAUAGUAUACAUGAAAUACAAUCCUUUUUGUCUUACAGUUAAAACCUAUAUUUGCCUAUAUAUAACCUAUAUUAUCUACAUUUUUAAUGAUAUUAUGAGACCGUAGAAGCCAAAUCUUUCAAAUUUGGUGUAACUACGGUGAAAUUGUUGAAUCAUUUGCUCACACGGUGAGUUCUACUACAGAGCCAUGUCUAUUUUAACACAGAGCUUCCAAGGGUCUUGGCCUCUCUGGAUUCCCUUUUUAUGCCGAGUCAUGUUACUAGACUGUUGCAAUUUGGGAGAUUUUGUCCAAUAGUUUCUGUCUUUUUUUAGCGUUGCAUAACUACAGUGUUGUUUUUAAACAAGUAACUGGUGUCAUGCUUUAAACAAGAAUACAUCCCUGUAAAAAACAUCCAAUUUUCCAGCUUUAGUGCUAUUUCUAAUUAAACACAAGGUUUAAAUGAUUUGCAAAGGAACAAAAUCUGCUUUUUAAAAACAUUUUGCACACUAUUAAUCACAUUUAGAACCGUGUUAAUACAUUAAACUGACAAGCAGAAAGAAAAAAACCUUCAAAUUUAUGUAUAAUUGUAAUUUAUGUGCAUUUAGUUGGAAAAUAACAUGUGAAAAUGGUUUCAUUCAAGUGCAUUUAUUUGGAAAAUGACGUGAAAUGGUGAAGUAAAGAUUAAACCUACAUUUGUAGAAAUAGAGUUAAACUUUGCUCAGAUUUUGGUUUGGGGAUGUAAUUUUGAUCCAAUGUGGUGAGUUCCACUAGUGUCUUUUUCUCAGUGUUUAGAACCGUGUUCAUGCAUUUCACCAUUCAAACAAACAAACAGAGUGGUAUAUAGGCUAUCUCCAUGGUAACAGACAUGCAAUCUUGCCAUGGAUACGUGACUAUAACGGUGUAUCUUACCUAAUUUGCUGCGAUCCUUAACCCAGGAUAACAAAAUAAUAAAAUCUCUGCACUAUCUCUGCUAAUUCCACACCCUGCUGAUUAAACUGGUCUGAAAGGGUUUUGGACUCGCUGUUCCCGCAAUGGUGCAAAUUUUAGGUCAGCUAUUUAUCGAUUUUAUCAAAGUGAUGACUAAGCUGAUACAGACAACAACCGGCCAUUACUGGUGCACUAACAGCGGAUAAAAAACUAUCCAGACAGUGACUCAGUGAUAAUGUGAGAGCUAUUCGGGUCAGCGCCGCUUCAAUAAAGAUAACAAGACCUGAUUAACUUGAAGUCAGGGACUGUCAUCACGUCCAGCAACAGAAAAUUGUUGUGGUUUAUGUUUUGAAGAGGAAUCGGAGCUGUUUCAGUUUCUAAAUUUGGAGCAGUUCUGCGUAGAGAAGAAGAAGUCGAUGUUCAAGGCCUCAAAACAACAACAACAACCGCUGGACUGAUUCGCCUCCCGCUGCUGCACGAGGAAGCCAAGGAGCUGAUUGCUCUUCCUGUUUUUUCGGGUGCGAGUUUAACUCUUUUCUGCCAAGUUUCCCUCGCCUCAGUAUCAAAGGUGAAACCGCGUUGUUAUGAGGUCAGAUUAAUGAAUUAUAGAGGGUUUUACAGUGGUGGAGAAACAACCGCGGAGGUUACGGGAGGUGAAAGAAGAAGAAGAAGAAGGAGAACCAGUUGAAAAGGGGAAAGUGCUAAUGAGGAUGCUAACUCAUGUGGGUGAUUUCAGCUGCUCUGACUGUAAAUCAGAAAGUAGGACUUCCCGCAAAACGCCGAUCGAGCCGUUUCUGGGUGAAUAGAAUCCCAGAUGCCGGAGCGCCCCUCCGUCUUUGCAAAAGGAAAACAGCCGGUCCCUGUGUCUUUUUGUCCGUUGAGGCCCCUCCUUACAUAAAGGCUUUAGUCAGACGUGUGCCUACAUUCUCUCGCCCCCAACCUCCAAUCACCCAACCCAACUCCGACUGGACCCCUGCCCAGAUGAGCACCGACACGCCCGCUUUGUCUGCAGAUCUGGCACAUGACCUGCUCUGGCAACUGGCACGGUGGGCCGAGCUCCAGUCGCCACCCACGCCCUCAUUGCCCCCCCCCCCCUUGUGCCCCUGUUUUGCCCCUUCAAAAAAAGCCCCCAAGCCCCAGCGUAGGCAGGGCGCCAGGACGGGCAAGACAACAAUAAUGGCGUCUGUGGUUAUUUGUUGGGGGUUUGCAGUCAGCGCCUCGUGAGGCACGAUCUGGGAUGUUGGGAAACAACUCAGCAUGGUGGAAUUAAGAGCGGUUAUAAUAUUUUGACAGCGGGGACAUUUGAACCGUCGUCACGUCUUUGUUUUUGUUUGACUUGGAUGAAAACGCGGCUCACAGGAUGCCAAAAAGCCUGAUAAUGACACUUAACCCUUUGACCUCUGGACAAUACGCUUUGAUUAUGACCCUUUUAACCUUACAGGUGAACAUUUUCAACACAGAUGAAUUCAAAGUGUUGAAAAAGCAAACAAUGUCCAUAUUUGAUGUUAGAUUUUACAGAUUUAGGAUUGUUGUAAUCCUCGCUAAAACAGAAACUGAUCAGACGAUUAAACAGGUAUGAAGGCGUCUGUUCGAACAGGCUCAAACAGAGCGCCAAAUCCCUGGCAGCAGCACCUGAAAAAGCCUCAGGCGGUGAUUUUAAUCCAAUUGUGCAAAACUGAGUCACUUUCUGAUAGGAGGAAUUAAUUAUUACGGCGGUGAGUGUUUAAUAAAAAUUAAUAAACCACAUCUAAGAAAUUAAAGACGAUCCUUUUAUCUCAUGUUCGGGUUGGCACGAGGUUAACUGAGGUUUCGCUCGAUGGUCGUAGGCGGGAACAGCUGAGAGGGUGGGAGAGGAGGGAAUGUCAGCCAUCCGGCAUGAAUCUCAUGUUUGAGUUUAAGAUGGAAACUCUGGGGAUGAAGUCGAUCCAGAGGAGCUAAUUUAGGGUCAAUUUUGAGGAGUUUCAACUCAAAUAAGCGGAGGAGUUCAUCUGUGAGUAAAAUGGAAGUAACUCAACACCGUCUUUUGUUUUGAUUUGAUUAAGACGAGGUGGUUUUUCUCCUCUUAUGAACGUUUUCAGGCCCCCCCAGCGUCGGAGAGAAACCUCAGACCAAACAGCAGAGGAUUAACUCGAGUAAGAGAGAGAGAAGCUGCCACAAUCCCAGAGAACCCUCCUCCUUCUCCUCCUCUUUCUCUUCUUCAUCCUCCCUCCCUCUGCUGCUCAGAGGUCAGCGCAGGGUUACUUCCCAGAAACAGGCCCACCCUCCAUCGCUCUCUUUCCAUAACAAAUCUUCACGAACACAAGAGAGCUCUCUCAGCCCGGGGGCGCUCAAAAACGAAGCGCCUGAUAGCGUUGAAGGGUUUCACACGGCUGCAGACGGUUAUACGGUGAAUUAAGAGUGACGUGUGUCGUCUUUGCUGCUUGUAUUAUGUCUCACGGUGUGUGUGGUCCCCGUUUCCUCGCUGUGAUAUUUGCUUUUAUAACUUUCUCUGUGGAUUAAAAACCAGCUUUGAAGCAGGCAGCCUAAUUCAAUGCUAAUGUAGAAACUGGAUUUUUAAACAUGGGUGUUAAUGGAGUUAAUGAGCUUUUGGAGCUAGCCUCUAGUGGACACUUGAGGUACUGCAGCGUCUUUUCUUUUUCCUUCAAGGUUAGCAGCUUUCUAGUAAACAAAAACUUGUAGUCGGGAGCGUUUUUUUCGAGUGAUUAUUUUGGACGUCAAUAUUUUUUUUCGAACCCGUAUCCUGUCACUACAAGCGUUCACAUCAGCGACGUUUUCCUGUCCUGCGAUAUUCCCUUUUUUUUCAUUUCACGGUCGAAUUUUCUAAAGUUUCGCAUACUGUGUGUCCACUUCUGACCAAUCAGAUUUCGUGUUGUUGCGACGUCAGAUUCACCGGUAUAUCCAACAUGGCCGACCGGCUGAUUGUUUACGUGUCGGAGAACAGAGUGAUUUUUGAUAAAAAACACAAAUAUUACAAAGAUAACGACCUGAAGGACGACUUGUGGAGAGUCAUAGCGUCGGAUUUCUCACAUGACGAUGGUUUGUGUGCUUUAACAGUUUGAUAAACGUCUUUGUUUUGAUUUUCAUCUGUGCUAAGUAACUUUAGCUCGUAAGCUAACCUGUUCAGAUACAACAUACCACAUGUAUUUUCACUGUCUCAAACUCAACCACAGUGUUGCUGUCACAGCACCAUUAGGUGUCAGUUUUUACCUUAUGUUUAUGGAUUAUAGGCUACAUUCACACUGAAGGUUUUGAUGCACAAUUCGAAGUUUUUGUUAAAUCCGAUCUUUUUGUGCGGUCGUUCACACUACAACAAUGGAUGCGGCAUCUGAUGUGAACGGAAUGCGUACGUGAAGUGACCCUGAUGCGCACAAAGCAGGAUGUGACGCACUUCUCCGUUUCCACGUCCGCCAUUGCUUUCCGCGCCUGUUUGUGUUGUCGAACAAUGGUGACGUUUGUCGCAUAUUGAUGACGUAUAGGUCGGAUGAAUGCGACCUGAGCGUCCACACUGCAGUCACAUCAGAUACAAACAUCGGAGUAUCAAUUCGCCAUCACUUGAAGUUGAAGUAGACUCUAUUUUGUCUUCUUGCGUCCGCCCGGGACGCGUCUUUUUUUUCCCCCCGGAAAGUCGCAAAAUCGCCUCAGAGUAUUUUGUAAUUUCGCCUCGUAUAUUUGUGUUGUUCCCGUGUGUAGGGACCUUUACAGGGUGAAAAAAGUCUAAAUAAGACGCAGAAAGUGUCUCCAGGAGCGAGCUGAUCCAGGAUCUUCAUCUGCGCCACAUUGUGAUGUAAUACCGCCGCUGUGUUGACCGGUUUCUUCUAAUGUGUUGUGAUAGUCUCAUUGUUACGAACCCCCGUCGAGUGUUUUGGUGUCUGCUAAUCCCUCAAACCCGAGGAUCUACUGUGCUGCUCAAACAGGAUUUCUCCUGGAUUGUUUUUCACGGCUCCACCUGCACUUGAAACAACACGAUCCUCUGGCAUUGUUUUCGACACACGGCGUCCGGCGGGUUGAGUUGUGUUGCAUUUUGGCACUCUUUACUCCAAGUGUGACUGAUGCUACCCUUCAUGUUACAUCAAGCAGCUCAUAUUAGAGCACUUAAACCAAACAAAGUGUCUUUAUUAGCGCAGCUUAUCGUGGAAAAACCGAGUAAGUGAGUCCAGAGAGUGCACUGCCUUUGAAGCCGUGUGCCUCUUGCAUAAGAAACAACGAUAAACAGCUCGGUUAAGUGUGUUGACAUUGUCUUAACAACUGGAGACGAACACAAGAGCACUUUGAAACAGCCUGGAGGUAAAGUGGGCAAAGUGGAGAGGUAAAACAGCUGGUUUCUGAAGAUAUACGUCCAUCUGAACCUCACUUUUACAUUCCAGCGAGCUAACCGGGUGAUGAGAUUAGAUAGCGGUCGAGUCAGACCACAAGCCUCCUCACAAUGUGGCCACUAUCAGAAACAAUAGGCUAAUGUAAGGGUCUGGCAGCCUCUCGCAUUCCUUCAUCCCCUUGAAAACAGCCUGAAGAUGUUAAAAGCUGAUCAAUUUGCACGGCGCUGCUAAAUGGGUUGCACAUCUAUGUCACAUCAGGGCUCGGCGGGAGGAGCAGCGGGUUGCUAAGGGGCUGAAAUGCUUGAGUUUGAGCGCAGGGCCGAUAAAUAGGACGACUGGUGCUUCUAGCGAGAGUACGGGGAGCUUACUUUUUUCUCAUUACGCUCAAUAGAGGGGACAUGUUGAUGCAUGUCGCUGAGAGGGGGGAAGCUUAGGAGGCUUUUAUGGAUAAGAAGAUUUCAACUGGAGCUAAAUGUUUUCACAAAAUUCGACUCAUUGGCGGCUUAAAGCGAACGAAAGGGUCCAUCUUUUUUUAUGCGGCAUUGUGUUGAAUCGAGAGUGAGCUGGUGUUGUAAUUGGCGUUGACUUUCCCCACCUCCCCAAAGGCUGUCAAAGAAAACACACAAAUACAAACACACACACACAUACGCACUAAUCCGCCCCGACAAGAUGCUGAUCAGACAGAGUGAAGGGUUGCCAGAUCUCUCAGAUAGACGUGCAGGUCCUGUCAGGCUCAUGCAGCACAGAUCUGUGUGUGUUUGUGUUUGUGUGUUUGUGUGUGAGUCCUCAGGCUGAAGCUUAUAUAACACAUGACAGCAGAGAGACAGUCACUCACAUAGAUGGAGGUUUUUGCACCCCGGGGACACACAAUCCAACCUCUCUGCUUCCUGCUGCGGUUGACAAAACUUACCUACAUUUCAAACAUGUGUACGACACCGUCGCUCAUCCGAAUGAACGCCACGCUGACGGGCAGGUGGCUCAGCGAGGACACAGAGGACUGUAAAUAAAACCAAUGAAAUACCCGAUUUUUUUACACAUGUCCCCCAAUUUAAAAUAGUCAUCAUUUAAGUUUUAUUUUGCUGAGUCAUGGUCAUCUAAUGCAGCAGCCUCGGUCAGCAAAAAAUGACAAAAUUCACUUUUUUUUUUCAGCAAGAUCCUUAUUCACACGUGUGCUUGAAUACGUUUUUUUAAAGACCCACUUCAGUGGAAAUCAUGUUUUUUUUUUUGUCUGCAUGUUCAUGUGGUGUUUUUCUGAUGCUACAGGACAUAUCAAGGGAAAACUAACCCGGGAUUUCCACUGAAUCUGGAACGGCUCAGAUUCAGAACGAUUUUCGCCAUAGGUCAAUUCCUACCGGAUCUGUUUGUGAGAUGAAUUUCGUGGCAGAUUACUGACAGCGGUAAUCGUGAGAACUCAUGAGAACCCACGGAUUCACGUGCAAUCGUGCGAUAACAAGUUGUCUUUUGCCACAUAGACUAACCAUAUAAGCAGUAGAUUGUGUCCUUCCAGAGGAGGAAAUCUACUUCUAGACUUCCAGAAUCAGCAUCUCCUCAUCCAUGGUGUCAUCGGGAUUAAAUGUUGUCUAUAAACCUUUCACUUGUUCGUCCCCGCCUGUUUGCAUGAUGUGAAAUACGAUCCACCUUAUUAUGAUAUUAGCUUUCAUCGUGUCCCUAAAGACAUUAGUGUCCAAGAGCUGAAUAUCUCUUAUGUUACCUGCCACUUCAGCUACCCCGGAAAUGUUAGGCUACAAGCUAGCGUGUAGAGAAGUGUGCAGAGCAGCGCUGUCUCCGCCCACGACUCAGAGGCAAAUUGCUAAUGAUCUACUGGAGCUCUGCAGAAGAAAAUGACACGGGUAACGUGAUUUUGGCUAAAAACUUCAUAAUUGCAAUUUAAAGACCACUGAGAACACUUUAAGUAGUAAAAAAUAAACGAUCGGAGUGGGAAUUUUGAGGGUUUUAUUUUACUGAGUCAUGGUCAUCUAAUGCAGCAAAACUUCCUUAUUCACACAUGUGCUUAAAUGCGUUUUUUUAAGUUAAGUUUCUCUGACAGUUUUAUCUGACGCAGGAGAUGUAAAUUUAUAAAACGAUCUCAGAUACCUUUAAGUCUUAAAGUAAACGACAUAAAUCUUCCAAACUUUAUCAGCCUCUCCCUGUCCUCCCACUUUUUUUUAAAGAAAGUACACCCUGUCAGCCCUCUUCUCGUCCCCGCAGUCGAUCACAAAGUUUAUGGGCGUUUUAUUCCAGGAGUUACUGUAUUUAUUUCUCCUCUUCGCUGUUUUACAAUCUGUAAUUAACAACACAUUUAGGCGCUGAAAGCCUGCGAUUAGAUCCUCUUAUUGACUGUUGAAGCAGGCUGUAAACUCCACCCUGCGGCUCUGAUACGUCUGUUAUGUAACUUAUUUUAAUUCUCAGCACAAUGUAAAAGUAGCCACAUAUGUCCCAGGCGGUGGUACAGUAUGUCCUGCAUUGUGAUGGAGAUCUAACACCUUGCAAAUUCCUUUAUUGUGACAUGUACAGGACAUCUCAUUCAGGAGGUUCAGGCGCUGUUAAAUCUGACUGAAGGCUUCAAUUUGUAAAUAAAGCAGCUAUACAAGAGUGGGAGUGAACGCAGCCCAGAGGAGCAGAAAACUCGUGAUUAAGACUCGAGAGAAAAGGUCACAGGAAAGAGGAUCUCCCUGCAGACAAAGAGAGAGCAACCUGUUUUCAUGGGAACUGGAAUAAGCAGCGGGGAGGUUGUGUUGUGUUUGCAUCGCCAAAAGCUGUGUGUAAACUUCCCAUAAAUCUAAAAUGAUACCUGUGUGAGUCAAAACAGGAGGAAAAUGAAAGUAGGAACUGUUUAGGAGUGUUUCAGAGAUCAUGUUUUUGGAGUUUCAUAGUUUUUCAUUACUUCUAAAAAUCCACGAGUUUAAGUAGAAGUCGUUUUUUGGCUCCUGGAGAACCUAACGUGAAGAAAUAUGUGUUUAUAUGAGUUUCCCUCUGUUAUGAAAAUGUUGAUCCGGGAUUACAGCUCAUCUCAGUCAGGCCAUAUCAGCAGUCUUUUUAAUAAACACACAAAGAAAAGCGGCUGUGAUUUAACUUCCCCGCAUGAGCAGAUUGCGGACUUAAAUAAGUCUAUUCUCCAUUUAUCAACACAGAGUUGUCAUGGAAAUGUUCAGCGGGGCCAAAAGCGAACAGAUGGCCCGAGAAAUCGAUGGCUGAGGCUCAAACUAGCUGAUCCGCUGAUUUGCUUCAAACCCAAGGGGAGAGUGUUUGGACUCGUCCCCGCAUGUGUUCCUCGGCCCAGUGAGUGAGUGUAGUAUUUUCAGAGUAAGAUAGGGACAAACAUGCUCCAGCCUGCCUUUAAACGCCAGAGCAAGAGUUUGUUAUCUGGAGUCGUCUUCUGGUCUUGACAAGUCAGACAUACGCAGCAAUGUAAAGAAUGUGUGACCUGAAGAGCUCAGGUGAGGCUUGAAAAGCUGAUUUACACCAGCAGAUAAAUCUGUGUUUGAGACUCCAGCUCCAAAAAGACAAAAACACUUUUGAACCAGUACAUUUAAAAAAUAUUUAGACUUUUUUAUCUCUCUAAACCUAUUUAGAGACCAGAUAUGCUUCAGUCAGUAGCAUGGCCAUUGGAAAAUGUUGUGUUAUCUUGUGGGAAGGGAAGGUUAUCACCUCCCUGCUGCCGUCAACACUGUGAAUGUGCCCUCUGGAUGCCUUUCCAGUGCAGACACAUAAACAGAUACACUAUAGAUUACAUCUCAUCAAAUAAAAAUGUAAAUAUGUGGACCCCAGGAUUCCCAAGUGUAAAAAACAUCAAAGUUUCCAUGGUAUACUGUUCUAGCACCAAAAAUAUGCCCCUCUGGAUUCCCUUCCAUUAGAUAAAACAUUAUUAGGGUGCCCUCUGAAUGCCCUCCCAGUAUAAAGAACAUUAAAGUGCCCCUAAUAUACCUUAACGGUGUAGAAAACAUGUAAAAGUACUAUCUGGAUACCCUUCCAAUAAAAAUAGUUCUAAAAAUGUGCCCCCUGGAUUCCCUUCCAUUGGAAAAAACAUUAUCAGGGUGCCCUGUGAAUGCCCUCCCGGUAUACAGAACAUUAAAGUGCCCUCUGGAUACCCUUCUGGUGUAGAAAACAUGUAAAAGUACUAUCUGGAUACCCUUCCAAUUAAAAUAGUUUUUAAAAUGUGACCCCUUCCUAUGGAUAAAACAUGAAAGUUUGUCCUUUGGUUGCCAUGCCAAGCUAGGUAAUAUGCAAACCUGCCCUCUGGGUGCCUUUCCAGUCUCGUAAACAUGAAACAAGCCCACUUGUUCCUCUCCAAUAUAGAAGACGUGAAGAUAUUCCAUUUUUGAUGCUCUACCAAUAAAGAUAAUAUGAAAAAUUCCCUUCUGGAUGUCCUUCCAGGUCAUAAAAAGGGGAAAAUGCAGCCCUCUGAUUUCCCUUUUUUCUCGAUAAAACCUAAAAAUGUGCCCUUUGUUGCACUAGAAUGCAGUAGACUAAGUGUUAAGAGCUCCAGAUUUUCAGUAGGAGAACCCCCCGACCCCCUUUUUAUUGUUUUACCUCAACCUUACCCAAAAGAGCAACAAAACAGUCUUCAAAAUGCUGCUGGAGGCAGAUCUCCAUUUAUUCCAACUUUCUGUGCGCUGGUGCCCAAUAGCAAACUUGAGGUGCCCUUUUUAUUUUUGUGCCCCUGCCCUCAAAUUACAGUUACGCCCCUGUAAAGUUAUCUUUUUUUUUUAAAUGCUCUUCUUUUAUAUUAAUCUUUAGAAAUCAGGUCCCAGUCGUCAAUUACGGAUAAAUUUUUUUUUUCUCUGCCCACUCUCUCACCCUGAUGCGCUGUGGUGGUUUUAAUAUAGACUCUGUUGCACAAUAAUGACUGAUGUCCUUGUUUUGCUGUUUGUUUUCCUCUCACCGCGCAUUCCCUGCAUGAAUAUGAGUUUUAAUAUCAAUAGAGUGCAGAGAGAAAACAGUCAGACAGACAGAUUGGCAGUCUGCCUUUGAUGCAACUUUCCAAUAUUACCCAUAAUCCUCUGGGGUGUUUGUGUUUUUUUUGUGUGUGUGUGCGUGUGUGUGUGUGUGUGUGUGUGCAGAGCAGUCUAGUUGUCAUGCUUUGAAGCAGCCAAUCAGACCUCUUCUUAUGUAAUCCCUGCAUCCAUCUAGGCAGACAAACUGUGGAGGAGCAGUGAGUGUAUGUGGGCGCGCACACACAAACACACACAUUUUAACAAAAACACACACAUACACACACAUAUUGUAUUUAUACACUCCAGUCAUUUUAUCUUUUAACAAUCUGGAAACUGACCGUUCGCCAUUGUCCCUCAAGACACAUUUUUCUUCCCCCCCUUUUGUCCGUCAGCCUUUUCAGCGCCUUCACACACACUCUGUAACACACUCGGUCCACCCUGACAGGCCAUUAUUGUGAACAUUCCUCUUUUUCCGAGCCAGAGUCUCCUGUCGUGCAUUCCUGGGACGUUAGAUUGAGCCGCUGCUGCAGAUGGAAAUGACUGUAACAGCGAAUACUCCUCUUAUGUCAUGUGUAUAAACGAGUGACGUAUUUAAAUGUGGACGUUAUGAAUGAGACUGUGUUUCACUUGACAUAUAUGUGGAAAAUAACAACUAUAUUUAAUACAUACUGGAGGAUUAGGGCAGUAAAAAUGCUUUAUAUGAAGGUGGCGCCCAUUUUCCAGCAGCCAUCAUCUUCAGCACACAAUCAUUUUUUGUUUCCUUUAAAGCUCCUAUAAGGAAUUUUCUGUCUGUGUUGAUUUGGCCGCCCCCUAGUGGAUGAAUACCUAUUUAUAUGAGGUGGCUUAUUUCAUCUAGCCUUUAUUAGUGGGGUGUUAAUUGACAAAACAAUCAUAAAUGUUCUUCCUUGAGCUGCGGAACCCCGCUGUAGUCCACAAUGGACUGGCCUGAGGUCUCACUACAAACAAGCGGCUGCUGGAAGAGAGUAGGUGAGUUGUGUUUAGUCUCUUUGCUGAAGAAAUUAAGCAAAGUUAAAAAGAUGUUUGAUGGCUAGUACUAUGGCUGGGACCCUACAGUAUAUGUCCUGUUGAUGAAGUUAGGUGCUGUUCUGAGCAUUAUUUGUGGCUAUAGAGUGGCGUUUUGGUUGAGGUCCAUAGACAGCUGUGUAUUGCUAUCGUGCGGUUGUUAAUAAAGUUGGUAAAACUAGAGAAGCAAGCGGUCUGCAACAUUCAUUUCUCAAGGGGGUGUGUAACUCGGUGUUGCGGUGUGUUUGACCCUAAAUUAAUUUUACGCCGGAAUAUCCCUUUAAGGUAGUACAAUUGCUUAAUGUGAAGGUGGUGCCCAUUUUCCAGCAGCCAUCAUCUUCGGUACACAAUCAAUUUUCUAUUUCCUUUAAAGCCCCUAUAAGGAAUUUUCUGUCUGUGUUGAUUUGGCCGCCCCCUAGUGGAUGAAACGGUUAGCUUUAUUAUGUCUUUAUCAUUUCAUUUCGUCCUUAUUAGUGAGGUGUUAAUUGACAAAACAACCACCUCUUGUUGCAGAAUUUGUCUCUUACUAUAAAUAUGUAAGUAACAAAGGCUGUUCCUUCAGCUAGCCUUGCCCCCCUCCUCCCUCACAGCAGGUACAGGUGUUAAAAAACGAUCAUACAGAUAUCGUAAUCUUGCCGUUGUACAUUAUAGAGAUGUUCUACUUUUCGUUUCAGUCUGUUUCAUAACCGUCCAAAAACUCCCUACAGGAGCUUUAAAAGACGAUUAGCAUCAGUUUAUGUAAUUAAAGCUACAGUGGGGAGUUUUUAGCAAACUAAACACUCUUGGAAACGUUCCUAAUGGAUCUGCGUCAGGAAGUAGCUGUCCUAACAACAAUGUGCUGCAUUUUAUCCCGAGAUAGGAAACCCACUGUAACACACUCUUGGACUGAUAAUGCUCCCUAACAGUCCGUUAAUGCACUUUUUAUACUUUAUCAGCAGAGAAGCACUCGAGAUUUCUUCCCCACAAGUCUCACCAGUUGUCCUUUUUUCUGUUGCUCCCUGUACAGAAUUAACACAGCCGUGGCGGGGAAAGCCCGGCGUGCCAUUGUCUGAUAGGGGGGCACCGUUAGCCGCGCACAACAGCCGCCCAAUGAGAGGACCCCCCCUGCUGCGACAGCUGUCGUGCUGUUUCACUGAUCUGUAAGCAUUUCUGCUCAUUAGCAGGCUUUGUUGUUUGGUUUGUGUGCGUGUGUGUGUGUGUGCAGUCAUAGCUGGGUGAUGAAUCGACGGUGGCAGGUAAAGUAAGAGGGAGGAAAUGAAUAUGUAUGAGACCUCCCGGACAGUGAGCGCCGAGGAUAAGCUGUCUGUUUUCAACGCCACAUGACGGAGUGUCACUUCUUUCAGACUCCACCUGGGGUCAGAGGUCUGGACUCUUCUUUUUCAGAGUGCUGGUUCCAAAAAAUUUCGCCUUUUUCCUCCAUUUAAGCUCAAAUCUGUCGCUCUUACCUCUUUUUUUUAAAACUUCGUGCCAAAUGCCAGCAGGCUGCCUUAUUUGGACACAAAUGUUCCAGUUUUCUGUGCAGGAAUUUCCCAACGUACGCCCUUAUCUCUGGUAAUCGCAGAAGUGAUAACAGUGACUCUUUUCCAGGACAGGGAAGUAACAUUAAAUGUUGACGAACUAACAGGAAAAUUAGCGGGAAGGAGGAAACUUAAUGAGAUUUCUUUUGCAUUCUUUCGUUUAAUCUUUCGCACUUCCUAGGUGUGAAAUUUCAGACCGUCCCUGAACAUAAAACUUAAGAAAAUAUGUGUCAAAGCCCUACAUGUGUGUCCAGCUCUGCUCGUUUUUGUUUCUGCAGCAGGUAAAAUGGUCUAACAACAUGAGGUCAGUUCAGAGGAAUGUGGGCCGUCCCUUCCUCUGUUCCACUGAAACCAGUCAGAUAACCUUGCAAAUACGAGGACAAUAUGUAACCACAUCAAGAGGGUUUUUUUUUCCUCCUCCAUCACACGUCCCUGAACUGAAGAACGGCUGUUUUUGGUGCAGAGAGCAGUCAUUGUUGCAGGAAUGUGGGAGGAACGGUGUGGUUAUUAAGGCGAGGACAGCCUGAAAACUCACCCGGCAGCGUCUGAAUGUGCGUUUUUCUGCCCAAAAACAGGCAUUCGUGAAAAGCACAAGCAUAUAAAAGCUCCUCGUCUAUAAAUGCACCUUUUUGAGAAAACAAAUCAUGUCCUUUUCACUCGUUUACCUGCAUGUAUCUCUAAAGGAAAAGGAGAAUCUCCUCCUACAAAGGAGUGCAGUUUUCACAGUUAUGUGUCACCUUGUUUGCUGUCGUUGUGUAGGCGCAGCAACAAUCCAGACAGAGACAUGCUGCUGUGUUUUGCAGAGUAGCUGAAGGGACAAACACCAACUCCAAACACAGUGCUGCUACUGUAUAACUGAGGCGAGUGUAAUAUUAAACUGCGUGUAGCUCAAAGGGCAGAAAGAGACCGUUUUGACCUCGGAUGCAUUUUUCUUCACCACUUUGAUAGAUGGUGUAAAGUCAGAUAAGGUUACCUUUAAAAGUCAGGUUACGCUCGAGUGUUUAAGAGGCUAAAGACCUGCUUUUUGUCUGACAUGGACUGUGGUUUCGUCUAAAAAAAAGUGGCGAAUGCAGUUGAUCCACAUCCGAGUGAAGGUGAGAGGGUUGAGCCCUUAUCUGACCUUGAAUUUCCGUUGAAGCAUGUUGACACCAUCUGCUUCUUUUUCAUGUCCAGAUUAAGACGGGGAUGUUACCCAUGUGUUCAGUCUUAGCGUCAGCGUAAGCCGUACAAACACGGUUAUUCCACCACUUUGCUGGAACAGCAUGUCAAAUAAACGGUUUAUUAGAAUUUGAAUCUAUGUAAACAGCAAAACAAUUCCUCACAAAUUUACAGUGAAAACCCAACAGGUCGUCAUGGUUAGAGGGAUAUUCCGGCGUAAAAUUAAUAUAGGGUCAAACACACUGUAACCCUGAGUUAGACACCCCGUCAAGAGAUGAAUGUUGCCGACCGCUUGCUCCUCUAGUUAUAUCAACUUUAGUAACCACCGUACGAUAGCAAUACAGAGAGCCAUGUGCUCAACCAAAACGCCACUCUAUACCCACAAAUAAUGCUCAGAACAGCACUGACCUUGGUCCAGUCCAUUACGGACUACAGCGGGGUGACGCAGCUCAAGGAAGAACAUUUAUGAUCAUUUCUUUGUCAUUUCCUUGAAGUAAUAAUCAUCAUAUUAAUCAUUUUUACUGCAGACGCGGUAGUUCUUCUGCCUUAGCAUCUCGGUCUGAUUGUAUUUCCAUGAAGAAAUGAUCAUAAAUGUUCUUCCUUGAGCUGCGUCCCCCCACUGUAGUCGGUAAUGGACUGGCCCGAGGUCUCGCUACAAACAAGGGGCUGCUGGAAGAGAGUAGGUGAGUUGUGUUUAGUCUCUUUGCUAAAGAAAUGAGUCAAAGUUAAAAAGAUGUUUGGUGUCUAGUACUAUGGCUGUGACCCUAUAUGUCCUGUUGAUGAAGUUAGGUGCUGUUCUGAGCAUUAUUUGUGGCUAUAGAGUGGCGUUUUGGUUGAGAUUUGUUUAUGGCUCCUCAGACAGCUGUGUAUUGCUAUCGUGCGGUCGUUACUAAAGUUGGUAUAACUAGAGAAGCAAGCGGUCAGCAAUAUUGAACUCUCAACAGGGUGUCUAACUCUGUGUUACAGUGUGUUUGACCCUAAAUUAAUUUUACGCCGGAAUAUCCCUUUAAGGUUCAAUAAAAGAACUAUGGCGUCUCUCUUUUUUGCACUGGUGUCUAGAUCCAUGGACCUGCACUUAUUGUAAUUUUUUACUGACACCUUCUUUUUUACGCUAAAGAACCCAAAUUCUGCUGCUGAGGGUUUAUUUUCCGUACAUUCUUCAGAACAGGACCAAGAAUAACUCGCCUUCGCAGUCUUGUUGUGGUCUCAUGAUUAAUGCAUCGCAACUCUCUGUGGUUUUGCACCAGAUAAUGAAACUGACUAAGAAAUGUAACCCACAAAACAUGAAUUUUUCUGCUCAUAAAAAGGUGAAAAACUGAAGAAAUCCGAUUUUUUUUCUCUUUUUGAUUGGGUUACAUUUAAAAAAGUGGAAUAGCCCUUUAAUUUUUGAAAGUAGAUAACAAUGAGGAAGACGCAGACGAAGGCGCUCGCACAGGGAACCGAGAGCGACCUUUCUCCGACCCAAACUGACUCCACUUCUGCAUUCACUCUCACCCAGGAGGAAGUGGGACCACUGACUUCCUGUUGCAUUCUGCGGGAGUGGGCGGGGUUUCUGUACCUAAAGCCCUUACCCAUGAUUCUUUGCACAGCAGAAAGACAGGAAGCGUGACCCGGGAUUGAUAACAGCGGGGGCGGCUAUUUCUGAAGGGGGGAGCAGACAAGGAGGUGUCUGUUCGGCUUCCUGUUGGUUGUUUUGUCAGAUGUGAGCGGCUGAAUGUGUCUUUAUGUGUCAAAAUGAACCGUUUGUGCUCUGCGGUCGCCAUUACGGCUCAAAGAAACACACUUUGUUGAGUGUUUUGACUGUUUUUAUCACUCAGGUGUGCUUUCUUCUGAAAUGAAGUAAAAAAUGCGUCUUUGUUUACAUGGAAGAAAGACUCAAAGGCCCCAGAAUGGCCGACCUGAUCGCCUCCAGAAACUGUUAUUAAGCUUUCGUAGGAGGUGAGGUUUUAAAGUCUGCUGCUGCUGCUGACUCCACAUCAGUCUUUGUUUGAUAAAAACCCGAUGUGGAAUUUUGUCCGCCUCCUUUUCUUGCCUUUUUUUUUUCUCUUUUUCUUUCCCGAGACGCCAAAUAAGGCCGUUUGGCCACAUCUGCUGAAACCCGAGGUCUGCAUUCAGCGUUUCGGCAUCCUGCUCUGGAUGAAAGAAUGAGAGAGAGAGAGAGAGAGAGAGAGAGAGAGAGAGAGAGAGAGAGAGAGAGAGAGAAAAGAUGAGUGUGUUUACCCUGCUGACUCGAUCCCCCUCUCGUACUAUGACACGUAUGACAUCAUUUGCUUCCCCCCUCCUCCCCCUGUUCUCUCUCUUUCUCUCUCAUUCUCUCUCUCUCUCUUCUAUCUUUCCCCUUUUUUUCCUGCUGUUUUUCCCUUCACAUGUUCGCCGUUAUGUAACCGAGUCGAGGCAGCCAGGCCGAGUUUGUGAACCUUUGCACCGCAUGGUGAAAACAUUUCCCUUUUUUUUUUUCAUUUUCUCUACAGCUGCUCUCUUUCACUGUCUGUGUCGAUGUAAACACCAUCAACAGAUUUAUGAAUGCUCAACAUUUAAAAUCAAAAUCACCUCCAAAACAAGCUUUCAGGUCUUAAACCCAGACUGCACACCCUUCUACCUAUGUCCUUUUUUACGUUACUUCCUCUAAAUUGUGAACCAGCACACUGUGUGUCCCUUUUUUCCUGUCAAGUUCCUCUUUUUGAAUGAGAGAAGUGCGACAUGCCGACUGAAAGCGAGGAAGUGAGACGCAGCGUUGUGGUUUACCUCAGAUCACCGACUAACAAAGGACCUCAGUUCAAAGCCUGGAGGAAUGAAAAGAGCAUGACCUGUUCUUGGUCUUCAGAUGUCCCCUCUGAGAGGACGGGUUUGGCGUGCACAUGUGCGUUUCAUCACGGCAAACUCGUCCUGAGGGCAGCCGUCAGCGUCAGACUAAGAGGGGGCUGAGAUUUCAAAAGGCCCACACCUCUGCGUUCACGUCCCACAUCACAGACUCCACAUGUUUGUCAGCUCAGAGGUUAACCAUGCGCAGAGGUAACACAACUGGAGGAGGGCAGCAGCCUCCGAAUGUGUGUGAUGUCCAGAUAUAAACAAGCGCUGAUUUAAGGGUGUGUGUUCCAGCUGAGCGUGUUUGAAGAGGUUCGCUGGACUCCUUUAUCUGUCUGCUCUGUAUAUCUGGAGAAGAUGAGGCACUUUUUUCCAGGACUGUUUGUUUUGCAGUCGUAUAGAGACGAAACUUCAGAAGCUGAAACGAAGAUUUGAUUAGAGGGUUUCUCACUGAGUUAUUAAAAGUGAUUUUAAAGCUCCUGUGUGGGAUUUCGGCUAAUCAUGAAAAAGACUAAAUGCCUCUUUUAUACCUUUAAAAAAGUGAGUGAGACCCUCAAGAGGGAAAUUAUCCAUUUCUGUGUAGCUGUUUUUAAAGCUCCUGUAGCGACCAUUUCUGUUUAGCUAUGUGGCGCCCCCUGUGGACAAAGCUUUAGAAGGGUCCUCCAAAAAAAAUCUAAUCAUGCUAACUUUUAAUGUCAAAGUAAUCAUCUAUUGUGACUUUUCCUCCGUGCGCUUCAACUGUCGCGUGUGAUUAAGGUUCUUGCAAUCUGGAUCUGGGGGGUGUGGUGGUUUGUGUUUGGUGUAGUAAGUUUUAUUUAUUUAAUUAUUUAUUUAUUUAUGUAUGUAUUAUGUAUCUAUAUACAUUUAUAGGUAUGGGUAUAUGUUAAUAUACAUUUUAUUAUAAAUAUUUAUAAAUAAUAAAAUAUACAUGUUAAUAUAUAUUUUAUUAUUUAUAAAUAUUUAUAAAAAUCUAUAUACAUUUAAAUUUUAUUUUUUUAUAAAUAUUUAUAAAAAUCUCUCUUUCUAUAUGUAAAAUAUGUAUUUAAAAAAUAUAUAUAAAAAUGUAUAUUUAUUUAUAAAAACCAAGGUGCUGCAUUCACAUGGAACUUUUAGUGCAACAGGGCUAAUUUCAGCCUACUUAAUUUUUCUUUUGUUUACAUUUUUAUUACAUCUUUAUUGUAUUGUAUCUUAGCUAUUGUAAUAUUAUAUAGUAUUACCACAGAUUGUCAAAGGUGUGGGGUAUGACAAAUGAAGUUCCUUGAAUCCUUAUUCAUUGCUGUAACACUGACUUGUAUCUUUCUACUUUUCUCAGUUAAAUUAAAUACAAAGUUGAUCACAAACUAAUCAUUUAUUGUGAAUUUUCAAAGACUAAAAUGCAACACUUGGCUGUUUGUUGUGCUGCUCUGCUGACACCUACCCCCUUGCACUAAUUUUAAUUGUCAGUCUCGCGUUUUUGUGUUUUAAAAAUCCAUCAUUUUGAGUUUUAGUGCAUUUCCUUUACUUAUAAAAACUCCUCACAGGAGCUUUAAUGUCUGAAACAGUGACGGGGGUAGGUGUCAGAGUGACACAGGAGCUUUAAUCUACUUGACGCUUUUUCAAAAUUCAAAUUAAAAUGAUUCACAGAAGAUGUCGUUGCAGUCGAGACUCAAAACGGAAAUUUUUAAAAACAUUAAAAGGUUGAAAUUCAGAUGAAAUAUGGAACAUGUGUAGGAUUGUGUUAAGAAAAACAAAGACCUGACAAAGUGUUUGCCUUUUCAAUCAGAGCGGAUAGCUGUAGGUGUUGUUGUCUGCUCACAGCUCUGCUCAUCUCACGGUUCAAUUGUGUGUUUUUGUGUUAUUGAUUACUUAAAGGGUGGAAGAGAGGGAGGGGGUGACUCUCGUCGCCAGUUGGCUGUUAAUAUCUUCGCCACAUGACCGAGCAGGAAUUUGUGGGAGCGUGUUAGGGAACACAUGCGUACUGUAAGCGUGUGCGUGCAUUUCCCUCACAGUCUGCAAACACAGCGCAUCCCACUCUUUCUCGCACAUUUUCUUUUACCUUUAGCUCCUCUCCUCGUUCGACGUUUCAGAUCUUGGAGAGGAGGAAUGAGGAAAGAGGAGAAAAACAGUAAGAGGAGUAGUGGAAGUGGAGGAGAGGAUAGUGAGGGAGGAAAAGAAGAUAGAAAGAAAGGAUGAAAGGUGUAAGGGGUUAAGACGUGUCGUGUUCACACACACACCGCAGGCCCAUGAAUCUUAACUGUGGGAUAUGAGGAAUUCAGACUCAAUCACCCAACGGAAAUUACAAGAGGAGCAGAGGGGGAGAAAAGGGGGAGAUCACAGGCUAAAAAUGUAAAAAGGACAGUACACACUGCUUCUGACCCCUCAGCUCUAAAGCAAUGAAUCAUUAUCCAUGUCGGGGGGUUUAUUUACACAAAAUGACCCCAAAGUUGAAGCAGAAAAUUCACGUUUCUUUACUGCUUCUUAUCUUUCUAAUCGAGACAAGAUAUGAGUCUCCACAAAGCGGGUUCAUAGAAGUUUCAAGUUUUCUGUUACUGUCCUUUCUUACACUCGGGGAACCGCCCCGUCAGACAAAAGCACAUUCAGUUCUUAUCUUCAUGUACCUGAUCACACCUGUCUGAACCUCGCCAUAUAGGUAGAUCUUUAACUCUGUGUUUGCAGGUUACAGCUUUUUAUGAGAUAGGAGGGGAGAGAAAUCUGUACUUCACUCUAGAUAAGUAAAGUUAUGAUGAUGAAAGAGGCGGAUGACGAUAUAUACUGCUCUUAAACUUUAAUGAUAAUACGAUCCAUCAGUUUACUGACCGUUGACUUUAUAUUAUGAUCUUAUUGCACAAGUGGCGUAUUUGAGACUGAAACUCUCUCUCAUGUUGGCAGACGCUCAUCGUGAUGGAAAGUUCAGGGACUUUUGAGUUGUAGAUGAGCUCUUACUGAUUUGGUUUUACUUUCAGGGGGCGGUUGUGCGGUCCAUAUUCUUGUCAAUAUGAGUUUACCAGCUAUUAGUUUAAGCGAGAAGAUGCACAAAAUUAUGUAAACACAAAAAAAUUCAGAUUAAGUGGAGUUUAAAUGUUGGGAUUUUUUUAAGGACGUUGAAAAAAGAAAAGAAUAAACUCGCUCAAAUUGAAAUAAGGUCAUAAAUCUAUAAGAGAAGUCAUAAUUUUAGUCAAAGGUACUGUUUUUAUUGACCGCCCAAUCUGUUAGGACACCUUAGCACAUUGUUGCAACAUUAUUCUUGGAGGAUUACAACCCUAAUCUAAUGAGUUGGUUUACGUAAAUUUGCUAAAGUUCAUCCUCAUGAAUUCAUGGCUGUUUAUAAGUAAAUGUAUACGCUAAAACUGUUGCAGACAAUAAUCUAUGUUUACUUAAAUGAAAGUUAAAUUUUUCACAACUUAAAAUUUCGGAAAAAGUUACGUAAACAUAUGUGAAGUUACGAAGAAAGAAAAUAAAGGAUGACUUCGCAAACAAAAGCAGCAAUAGGUGAUUUUUGAUAUGAAGAAAAAGUAAAUCCAAAAACUUUUAUGUAUUUUUCACUGAUUUAAAUGUUAAAAAAAUAAAUAUUUGAUGUUCCAGAAGUUCAUACUCUCACAUUGAGUUGUGUUAGCAUGAAACCACAUGUAUGUUUGAUAUAUUCAGGUCACUGAGAGUUAAUCUGUGUGCUUUACUUCUCUUUUGUAGUUCAGACUUCACAAACACAGCUGCUGGCACCAAAAGCUGAACAGAGUCACUCUCAGAUCCUCACCUCUGCGCUCGUUUCUCUCUGUUUCUGCAGAUGCUGGACGACUCUGAACGACAUGGGAGGACGUGGUUAUCUCUGACCCCUUGGGCCUGUUCGGUUGCGGGUUUUCCCAGAAGGCCGAGCUUCUGUCCAGUCCAUGUUGUAGUGUGUAUGUGUACGAGUUCAUGGGAAAAAAAGUGAAGGGGGAAUUCGUGGAUAACUCUGUAUGUCUUGUAAUUUAUUGUAGUUUAUUUUCUGUUUCGGGGCUCCACCUUCGGUGAACUCUGUGGUUUAAUUAAAGCAUUUCAAAGCUUGUGGUGGUUGGAUGCAACUUCCCCUUAAACGAUUACAAAAAGAAAUGUUGCAUCACAUCAAGAGUGGCGGUUUUAUCUUUAAAUUCUUGCCACAAUCUUCGCCCACGAUUGUUUAUCUGUUUGACUGAUUUCUCUGCUGUACUGUAGCACAACCAUCAGCCACACUUCCUCUUUGUUUCCGCCGUUUACAAGACUUUUAUUAUCAAAGAACAAUGUUUUGAACAGCCAGAAUAGACACUAAAGCAGCUUGUUUCUGCGGCUGCAUAUCUGAGGAGUCAUUUCCUGCCCUGCGGUGUCGCAAGACUGUUAAUAAAUACGAGCUAAACACUGUGA